rnacentral:lncRNA from 1 species
GAUAAUGCAUUAAGACUAACAUGUAGUUGAUUGAUGAUAAAGAGUUGUCAUUGAUAUGGAGUGUCAGAAUCGAUGCAUGAAUAUGUGUGUUAGAGAACAACAUAUUGGACUGACCCGUUAUGAGUAUGUUUCUUGGAUUAUUAUGUAAUUGUCACGACAUUACUCAUAGUGAUUAAUAUGUAUAUGAUCCUCAGACUUGAGAUCAUCAUAAUCCCAACAUCGUGAGUUGUAUAUUUUGAUACAGUCAAACGUACACCGUAACUGGUUAUUCUAUAAAGGCUGAUGUUGGAUAUUCCACAAUCUAUGUAGAGGGAUAUGGUUGAUCGAUAUAGGAUAAGUCCCUCCUACAUAAUGGGAGUAAUA